UUUUUUUUUUUUCAUUCUUUCUUUCUUUCCUCUAUGUUUUUAAAGCAACAUCUAAGUACUUCAGCUUAUUCCUUGGCAACUUCUAUCUUGCUUGGAUUACCAUCAAUAAUGGUGUUAACACAGAGUGAUUACUGCCAAAAACUCAGGUUCUGUGGCACCAGUGGCCUUCCUGGUCAUCAAACCAGUGCACCUGCUACUGGUGCAGAAUCAGUCUGUUGAUAAAACUAUAAUCCCCUCAUGGUUCACCAGUUUAGCUUUGAAAGCAACCACAGGCAUGUAGCAGUGUUUCAUGGAAAGAAUGAGGACAUUCCCAGGAAUAUUUUUUUCCCAUAAGCUUUCUUCUGCAUUUUCCUAAUCCAUGAACAAUUAUUUUCACACAUCUCAGAACUAGUAUGGGGGGAAGUGAGUCUCCAAACAGGAGCUAAGACUCAAAUAACUUAUUCCCUUUCCAAGACACUUCAGAUGUCAACAUGAACAUGUCUAUAUUAAUUUCAUUAGGGAUGUGUAUUAGGAGGUAUUUGGGGCAAAAUUUCUCUCAAAUGUAAAACUCAAAUCUGAAAAUUUCGUAGCUGCUUACAUUUUCUACUUGAAUGUAAUAAUAGCAUUCAAAACGUUGUCAUCAUUGAAUGGGAUUUCCCUCUACCUACCUCUCAGCAAAUCUUGGCCUGUUUUCAAACUCAAAAGAAGUCUAAAGUUUGAAUUGCUGUUGGGGAAUCACAGUUCAGAUAAUAAAAUAAUUUUCUAAAAAGUUGUAUGUAUGUUCUGAAUGCUUAAUGCUCCCAUUAAAAGAAACUUGUCUAAAACCACAUUUACUAUAUAAUUCCUCACUCUUAGGGAAAUACUAUGGCUUAUGAGUGUGUUAACAUAUAUUAAUUUAGGGGCUUAAUAAAACAUUGAUAGUUCAUGUCACCAUAAAAUAUAGACUGCAUUCUGAUAGCGCAGAAACCUAUGAAGAUAGGUCAUUUCCAUUUAUUGCUUGAAUAGGAAGAUGUACAGACUACCAUGCUUAUAAAGUAGAUGCCUUCUCAAACAUAAACACAAGAUCCAAAAAAUAAAUUACUUUUAUAUAUUAAACUAUUACUAAUUAAGAUUUAAAGCAUUGAUGUAUAUGUAUACAUAUGCAUGUAUAUACACUUAUAUUUAGUAUACAUCUAUAUCAUAUAUGUUCAUGAACAUGUUUACAUAUUAUAUGUUUUAUGUUACUAUAUGUUUAUAGGGUGUAAUACAUAGCAGCAUAAUAAAUAAAUGUAGAAUAAAAUUGAAAACAUCUCAGAAAAGAGACACAAUCUAUUUGAAAAUUAUUUUAGAAUAUUCAAGACUUAAGUGUUUGCAUAAACAAAAAUAGCAUAACCAAAAUAAAGUUAAUUCAAUCUAACUCUCUUAUAAUCAAAUGCAUACUUAUCAGUCUUUCCUUGGCCUUUUCAAAUGGGUUUGUCUUACUGUUUGUUGAGGAAAAUUCAUUUUUGGCAAAGAUUUUAUACAUAAGAAAUCUGAUUUAUUCAUAUAAAAUUAGAAUUUAAAGAUCACUUCUUUCCAUGAUUGUUUUGUUGCCUGUAAGACUUCCAAAUGAAGGAGAUGGUUUAAACAUAUGGAUGGGGUUAAGAUGCCAUCUGUACCCUGCAUGGGAUCUCAUACAUACUAAAUAUUGCGAUAGCUUUGAAACAAUACUUCCUCUAUCUGAAGAGCAGAAAAAUUGGGUACUCAGGCCUUAGUUAGAAAAACUCAAAUUAUUAUUACCAAGAAGCUGCCAGGAUAUAAUCUAUAAAUAUUAGCAUAUUUAUGUAGAAGAUAUUCUAGAAAACAUCCCUUUGUAAAACUGAUGGAAUCAUUAGAACCAUAAAUUUAAGGGUGAAAAUUUUUGAUUUAACUCAUCAUAUAUGUAUAAAUUAAGUCUGGUAAGGAAAAAAAGCAACAUCAUAUUAAGUAUACUGGUUGAUAUUUUAAAAAGAAAAUUAAUUCCAGAUUUUAUAUGGCAGGAUAAACAUCAUUAUUACAAUUUCUUUUUUAUGCUCUAAAUAGAGGCACUUAGCUGUGUCAUAAUUUGCUGCAAACCAUUAAAUUAGCCCAUACUUACCUUAAAAUAUAAAUAUUAGAUGCAAACCAAUAGAGUGAGAAUUCUUCCUCCAGAUAUAUUUAUAUAUAUAUAUAUANGAGCUUGAGGCCCUAAAAAGAUAAAAGACAAAAAAAAAAAAAAAGAAAAGAAAAGAAAAGAUGCUGAUAUGAUUUCAAUUUUCUUAAAUUUACCACGGCUUGCUUUGUGGUCCAGUAUGUGAUCUAUCCUGGAGAAUGUUCCACAUGCACUUGAAAAUGCAGACAUAGAUUUUAAUAUAAUUCACCAUUCAUUUAUGAUAAAAACUCUCCAGAAAGUGGGCAUAGAAGGAACUUACCUCAACAUAAUAAUGGCCAUAUAUGACAAACCCACAACUAACAAAAUUCUUAGUGGGAAAAAUCUGAAACUAUUUCCUCUAAGAUCAAGAAAAAGACAAAGAUAUUCACUUUUUCCCCUUUUGUUCAAUAUAGUUUUGGAAAUCCUAGCCACAGCAAUCAGAGAAGAAAAAUAAAUAAAAGAAAUCCAAAUUAGAAAAGGAGAAGUGAAACUGUCACUAUUUGCAAAUGAUAUAAUACUACACAUAGAAAAUCCUAUAGAUGAUGCCAGUAAACCAUUAGAGAUCAUAAAUGAAUUUUAUAAAGUUUCAGGAUACAAAAUUAAUAAACAGAAAUCAGUUGCAUUUCUAUAUAGUAACAAUGAAAGAUCAGAACGCAAAAUGAAGGAAAUAGUAUCAUUUAUCUUUUCAUGAAAAAGCAUAAAGUACCUAGAAAUAAAUUUACCUAAGGAGGCAAAAGACAUGUACUCUGAAAACUUUAAGAUGUUGAUGAAAAAAUCAAGGAUGACACAAACAGAUGGAAAGAUAUACCACAUUCUUGGAUUAGAAAAAUCAAUAUUGUCAAAAUGGAUAUACUACUGAAGACAAUCUAUAGACUCCAUGUGAUCCCUAUUAAAUUAUCAAUGGCAUUUUUCACAGAACUAGAACAAAAAUCUUUAAAUGUGUAUAGAAAUGCAAAAUAUCUUGAAUAGUAAAAGCAAUCUUAAGAAAGAAAAACAAGCUGGAGGAAUUAGGGUCUCUUACUUCAAACUAUACCACCAAGCUAGUUAUUAAAACAGCAUGGUACUGGGACAAAGCUGAAAUACAGAUCAAUGGAACAGGACAGAAAGCCCAGGAAAAAAACCUAUGCACUUAUGGUCGAUUAAUCUAUGACAAAGGAGGCAAGAAUACACAACACAAAAGUACAAUCUCUUCAAUAAGUAGUGCAGGGAAAACUGGACAGCUACAUAUCCAAAAUAAACAAAUAAACAAAUGGGACCUAAUUAAACUUAAAAUCUUUUGCACAGUAAAGGAAAUUAUAAACAAAACAAAAAUACGACCUACAGAAUGGAAGAAGAUAUUUGCCAACAAUUCAACCAACAAAGGAUUAAGUUUUAAAAUACACAAACAGCUUAUACAGCUCAAUAUUGAAAAAAACAAAACCCCAACCGAAAAUGAGCAGAAGCUCUAAGCAGACACUUCUCCAAAGGUGACACAGAGAGAUGGCCAAAAAGGCACAUGAAAAGAUGCCCAAUGUCACAGAUCAUUGGAGAAAUGCAAAUGAAAACUACAAUGUGGUUUCACUUCAUGCUGCUCAGGAAUGGCCAUCAUCAUGAAGUCUAGAAAUACUAGAUUCUGUGGAGGGUGUGGAUAAUAAGGUACCCAUCCUACACUGUCGGUAAAUUAGUACAGCCACUCUUGAGAACAUCACUGAUAUUCCUUUAAAAAUAUACAUAUAGCUACCAUAUGAUCCUGCAAUCCCACUCCUGGGCAUGUACCCAGAGAAAAACAUAAUUUGAAAAGAGAUAUGCACCCUAAUAUUCAUAGCAGCACUAUUUACAAUAGCCAAGAAAUGGAAGCAUCCUAAGUAUCCAGUAUCCAUUGACAGAUGAAUAGAUGAAGAAGAUGUAGAUAUAUGCAAUGUAAUAUUAUUCAGCCAUAAAAAAGAAUGAAAUAUUGCCAUUUGUAGCAACAUGGAUGAACCUAGACAUUCUCAUACUAACAAAGCAAGCCAAAGACAAAUAUCAUAUAUCACUUAUAUGUGAAAUCUUAAAAAAUGAUGCAAAUGAACUUAUUUACAAAACAGAAGCAGACUCACAAACACAAAAACAAACUCAUGGUUAUCAAAGUUGAGGGGGGAAAGAUAAACUAGGAGUUUGGGAUUAAAAUACACACACUAUUACAUGUAAAAUAGAUAACCAACAGGUAACUACUUAUUGCAUAGGGAACAAUGAAAAUAUCUUGUAAUAACCUAUAAUUAAAAAAAUGUAAAAAAAGAAUAUAUAUGAAUAUAAAUGGUAUGGAAAUUAUUUGUUAUCUACAUUCCUAUAGUAUAAUAAGGACUGGUUUUAUGAGUGGACAAGUAUAUAUGACAAGAAUUUAAAAGCAUGCAUCUGCUCCUUUUUCUUAGUCUUCAAAUGCUUUGUGUCAAGGCUAGCCUUGCCUUUAAAAAUAAAGAUUGAUGUUUCUG
rnacentral:lncRNA from 1 species